UGAAUACAAGAUGCUACGGCAUCGAAGCAGUCUAUGUCAGACUUCCAAGAAAAGCUUGCACUGUCAAAAACAAAGAAUGCCUGUACCAUAACCGACACAGGUGGGUAGGUAGAGUAUACUAAGGGGCGCGAGAUAACUCUCUCUAAGGAACUCGGCAAAAUGACUCCGUAACUUCGGGAGAAGGAGUGCCUUAUUUUUAAGGUUGCAAUAACAAGACCCAAGCAACUGUUUACCAAAAACACAGGUCUCCGCGAAGUCGUAAGACGAUGUAUGGGGGCUGACGCCUGCCCAGUGCCAGAAGGUUAAAGAAGUCGGUUAGAUCAGCUUUGCUGAUCGAAGCUGGUAACUGAAGCCCUGGUGAACGGCGGCCGUAACAAUAACGGUCCUAAGGUAGCGAAAUUCCUUGUCGGGUAAGUUCCGACCCGCACGUAAGGCGUAAUGAUUUGGGUACUGUCUCGGAGAGGGGCUCGGUGAAAUAGACUUGUCUGUGAAGAUGCGGACUACCUGCACCUGGACAGAAAGACCCUAUGAAGCUUUACUGUAACUUGAAAUUGAAAUUGGACUUUAUUUGCGCAGUAUAGGUGGGAGGCAUUGAGACUAGUCUUGCGGGAUUAGUGGAGCCAUCAGUGAGAUACCACUCUUGUAAUGUUAGAUUUCUAACUUUGUAUCAUUCUCUGGUCAAAGAACAGUUUCAGGCGGGCAGUUUGACUGGGGCGAUCGCCUCCCAAAGGGUAACGGAGGCGCACAAAGGUUUCCUCUGAACGGGUAGAAAUCGUAUCUAGAGUGUAAAGGCAUAAGGAAGCUUGACUGUGAGACCUACAAGUCGAGCAGGGACGAAAGUCGGUCUUAGUGAUCUGACGGUGCUGAGUGGAAAGGCCGUCACUCAACGGAUAAAAGUUACUCUAAGGAUAACAGGCUGAUCUCCCCCAAGAGUUCACAUCGACGGGGAGGUUUGGCACCUCGAUGUCGGCUCAUCGCAUCCUGGGGCGGUAGUACGUCCCAAGGGUUGGGCUGUUCGCCCAUGAAAGCGGUACGCGAGCUGGGUUCAGAACGUCGUGAGACAGUUCGGUCCAUAUCCGGUGUAGGCGUUAGAAUAUUGAGAGGAGCCUUCUCUAGUACGAGAGGACCGAGAAGGACAUACCUCUGGUGUACCAGUUAUCGUGCCAACGGUAAACGCUGGGUAGCUAUGUAUGGAGUGGAUAACCGCUGAAAGCAUCUAAGUGGGAAGCCCACCUCAAGAUAAGUAUUCUCAUGGCAUAAGCCAGUAAGGUCACGGGAAGAUUACCCGUUGAUAGGCUCUACGUGGAAGCGCAGUAAUGUGUGAAGCGGAGGGGUACUAAUAGACCGAGGGCUUGAC
rnacentral:rRNA from 1 species